GAUGUGGUGGCUCACACCUGUAAUCCCAACACUUUGGGAGGCCAAGGAACUUGGGAGCAUUUUAGUUGUUUUUUAGAUCCAGCUGCUGAGAUCAGGCUGCACCAUGCAUCAGUUGUAAAGAUCCUGGAGGAAAGAAGACUCCCUUUCUGCAGACCUGCAGCCGAAGUGUUCUCUAAGUAGAAACCAACCACUUAGAAUUAAGUCAACAUAAAGGAGAGAAAUACCUGGAGAGGAAGGAGUCAGCUGUGAAGACACCAUUUGAGCGUCUUGAUCCAGUUAUGUCUGAAGACUCUAUCGCCAAACUUUUUAUUAACAUAAGAGAAUAAAUAGUACUUUCUUGUUUCAAAAAAAAAAAAAAAAAAGUUUGCUAUUUUUUUCUUAAGGCAGUUUGAAUUGGUUUCAUCAGUUACAAAAAAAGUUUCUCAUUAAUAUGACUAUGAUAUGAAAAGUGCCAUAAUAGUCAUAUGAACAAAAGAUCUUGGCAUCCAGGGUGGGGAGACUAAGGAGUGCCAUUCGAAUUGAGCUUUGAAGGAUAUAUAGAAUUUCGCCAGUGGAGUAAGGUAGGGAAAGCCACUUCAGAGAAGAAGAACAGCAUGUACAAAAAGAAUCAACAUUUCAGGGAGUAUGAAAAAUUUGG
rnacentral:lncRNA from 1 species